CUGGCUCAGAACGAACGCUGGCGGCGCGUUUAAGCAUGCAAGUCGAGCGGCAAGGGCCUUCGGGCCCCUAGAGCGGCGGACGGGUGAGUAACACGUGGACAAUCUGCCCCCCGGCCCGGGAUAGCCCAGGGAAACCUGGAUUAAUACCGGAUGAGACGGGACCCGCGAUGGCGGGAUCCGGGAAAGGCGCUGCGGCGCCGCCGGGGGAUGAGUCUGCGUCCCAUUAGCUAGACGGCGGGGUAACGGCCCACCGUGGCGACGAUGGGUAGCCGGCCUGAGAGGGUGGACGGCCACAUUGGAACUGAGACACGGUCCAGACUCCUACGGGAGGCAGCAGCUAAGAAUCUUCCGCAAUGGGCGAAAGCCUGACGGAGCCGACGCCGCGUGAACGAAGAAGGCCGUGAGGUUGUAAAGUUCUUUUCGGGAGGGGGAACAACCGUGGCAGGGAAUGGCCGCGGGAUGACGUGAAUCCCGGAAUAAGCCCCGGCUAACUACGUGCCAGCCGCGGC
rnacentral:rRNA from 1 species